GGGCCCGCACAAGCGGUGGAGCAUGUGGCUUAAUUCGAUGCAACGCGAAGAACCUUACCUGGGCUCGAACGCUAUCUGACAGACCCUGAAAGGGGUCCUUCUUCGGACGGAUAGUGAGGUGCUGCAUGGCUGUCGUCAGCUCGUGUCGUGAGAUGUUGGUUAAGUCCCGCAACGAGCGCAACCCCUAUUACUAGUUACCAGCACGUUAUGGUGGGGACUCUAGUGAGACUGCCUGCGCAAGCAGUGAGGAAGGUGGGGACGACGUCAAGUCAUCAUGGCCCUUAUGCCCAGGGCUGCACACGUGCUACAAUGCUACGGACAAAGGGCAGCAAGUUCGCGAGGAC
rnacentral:rRNA from 1 species